GGCUGAACCUCCCACCCUUGUCUCUGAUACACCCUGUUGCUUUGGCGGGCCCACCGGGGUCCUCCCCGGUCGCCGAGGGGCAUCCCGCCCCUGGGCCCGUGCCCGCCGGAGCGCCCAUGAACCCGAAUGAAGAUGGAUUGUCUGAGUGUGGGAUGAGAAUUGUCAAAACUUUCAACAAUGGAUCUCUUGGUUCCGGCAUCGAUGAAGAACGCAACGAAAUGCGAUAAGUAAUGUGAAUUGCAGAAUUCCGUGAAUCAUCGAAUCUUUGAACGCACAUUGCGCCCCCUGGUAUUCCGGGGGGCAUGCCUGUCCGAGCGUCAUUUCUGCCCUCAAGCGCGGCUUGUGUGUUGGGCGUGGUCCCCCCCUCAUUGCGCGGGGGGACCUGCCCGAAAGGCAGCGGCGACGUUCCCGUCCAGGUCCUCGAGCGAAUGGGGCUCUGUCACCCGCUCGGGUAGGGGCCGACGGGCGUUGGUCACCCACGAUAUUGUUU
rnacentral:misc_RNA from 1 species